UUACAGCCAUAUCAUAUUGAAACACUGGUUCUCAUAUGAAUACUGGUUAAGCAAAGUCAAGCCUGGUCAGUAGUUAGAUGGGUGACCACUUGGAAAUGCCAGGUGAUGUAUG